CCUCUCCCCGCUGGGGGAAAGUUUGGGAACUUUAUCCCGGGAAGGGGCGGAGGAGGUGGGUGGUCAGAGGUGUGGAGAGGCGCGCAGGCCGGGCUCCAGGCCACCGGCGCCCGCCCACCCGGAGCUUAAGAUCUGGAGAGAGAACGGGGUCUCGCCUCUGCCACCUCUCAUCUUCCCGGACUCCCCUCCUCUUUGCACCCACGCGCUGUAUACCAAGUAAAGUUCCUUCCCUUCGUCUGGUCUCAGAAAUUUCUGAUUCUUGGUUACCUGCACACAGAACAGCUUUCGGGAGCAACUUCUCUUCAGUCUCCUGUUUUACUACCAAAUCCUGGUGCCUGGAAACCACCACAUGCAUCAAAAAUUCCAGAAAUGAACAGUCUCUAAGAAAUAAGGUGCUGAUUGUGCAGAAAAACGUACAGUUAAGAAAGACCUUGAAAGACGUUAUAAGUUACAGUGCCAGUUACGUGCUCGAUUAUGUGUUGAGUGAGGAACCCCCCGUAUUGGAAGCAAAGGGAUGGAAUGGAGGCGGGGCGGGAGGUAGAAGAGGUGCCAUCAAUUAAAAAUGACUCCCAUAGCCAGUAAUGUAAGUUGUCAAAAAAAGUUACGCCCUUUUUUCUUCAAAAAGAUUUUUUGUUUUCUGUAGAAACACAUUACACGUAAACGUAUAAGAUGAAGUUAAAUCAUCCUACCUAGAAAUCUGGGUUAAUAAAAUUAUUUAAGAGGUUGAAGAAACAGGAAAGUGUUCAGCACCCAAUAAUUUGCUGUUCGUGUGACAUCUUCAAAAGUCUUCUUUGGAGUCAUUUUUCCCCCCAGCGAAACGUUUAUUGUCGCAUGCAUCCAUUUGAAAAGACAAACAGUCCACAUUUCCUGACUAACAAAGGACUCUUUUUGUCUGAAAGGAUUGGAAUUCCCCCUAUUGUGAACACAGAUGGAAUGAUCUAAGGCUGUGGUCCUGCUCAAAUACUUGUGUCUCAAUCAACUUCUUUGCUCUGGACUUAAGAUAAGCACCCAUUUACCAUCUAGUCCUCUGACUGAAUGUUAUGUGUUAAUUGCUUACACAAGCACUGUCUCAAUAAUUGGCUGUUGAGUUAUUAAUUGCAGUUGUAUUGCAUGUCUCCUGUACUGGUUGUCUCCUGUAACAUCCAAGUUAUCAUAGUCCUGGUGACCGGCCUCCUUUUCUGUUGUUACUGGAUAAAGCAAAGGAAACAGACAGAACCACAAGUAUAGCUUGCAUCAGGUUCCAAAAAUGUUGGGCAAGUUAUUUUUAUUAACUGUCUGGAUGAUGUCCCCAUGGUGUCUGUGUCCAGUGGCCUUUAUGGAUUUUUCCAGCCUAGAAACUUGAUAGCUGAUGUCUGCUUAUUCCCGUUUGAGAGCAGCUAAGUAAAUAGCACUGGUCUGAAUAUUCAGUAAAGCUUUUUUACGUUGAUCUGGAAGCUGCCUAUAUGAAGUAAAGCCACUAUUAUUCGCAUUCAACCAGACAGGUUGGGUUUUACUUUGUUAACUCUUAUCACUAUUAUUUAUUUUUAUCUUCCCUUCGGAGCAAAGGGCACUUAUCAAACCUAGGUGAACUUUUGUUUGUUAUCACAUUGAGCGUAAAUAAAAUACUUUUUUUUAUUUCA